rnacentral:rRNA from 1 species
AUUGAACGCUGGCGGCAUGCCUUACACAUGCAAGUCGAACGGUAACGCGGGGCAACCUGGCGACGAGUGGCGAACGGGUGAGUAAUACAUCGGAACGUGCCCAGUAGUGGGGGAUAGCCCGGCGAAAGCCGGAUUAAUACCGCAUACGACCUACGGGUGAAAGCGGGGGAUGGCAAGACCUCGCGCUAUUGGAGCGGCCGAUGGCAGAUUAGCUAGUUGGUGGGGUAAAGGCCUACCAAGGCGCCGAUCUGUAGCUGGUCUGAGAGGACGACCAGCCACACUGGGGCUGAGACAAGGCCCAGACUCCGACGGGAGGCGGCAGUGGGGAAUUUUGGACAAUGGGGGCAACCCUGAUCCAGCCAUGCCGCGUGCGGGAAGAAGGCCUUCGGGUUGUAAACCGCUUUUGUCGGGGAAGAAACGGUCUGCGCUAAUACCGCGGACUAAUGACGGUACCCGAAGAAUAAGCACCGGCUAACUACGUGCCAGCCGCCGCAGUAAUAC